rnacentral:SRP_RNA from 1 species
AUUGGAAGGUUUGAGGGCAAAUACCUUAUUAAUCCAGUCAGGUCUGAAAAGAAGCAGCUGUAGUAAGUCUAUUUGGGUCUUGUAACCUUCCUUAUAA